rnacentral:rRNA from 1 species
UACAGAGGUCUCGAGCGUUAGGCGGAAUCACUGGGCUUAAAGCGUGUGUAGGCGGAUCGGUAAGUACCUUGUGAAAUCCCACAGCUUAACUGUGGAACUGCUUGGUAUACUGCCAGUCUUGAGCCAGCUAGGGGCUACCGGAACAAAUGGUGGAGCGGUGAAAUGCGUAGAUAUCAUUUGGAACGCCAAUGGUGAAAACAGGUAGCUGGGGCUGUGCUGACGCUGAGGCACGAAAGCCAGGGGAGCAAACGGG